rnacentral:rRNA from 1 species
CCCUUAGAUGUUCUGGGCCGCACGCGCGCUACACUGACGAAUGCAACGAGCUUAUAACCUUGGCCGAAAGGUCUGGGUAAUCUCCAAAUUUCGUCGUGAUGGGGAUAGAUUAUUGCAAUUAUUAAUCUUCAACGAGGGAUGCCUAGUAAGCGCAAGUCAUCAGCUUGCGUUGAUUACGUCCCUGCCCUUUGUACACACCGCCCGUCGCUCCUACCGAUUGAAUGGUCCGGUGAAGCGUUCGGACCGUGGCCUUUGGACGGUUCGCCGUCUGUUGGCUGCGGGAAGUUCGUUAAACCUUAUCAUUUAGAGGAAGGAGAAGUCGUANCA